rnacentral:lncRNA from 1 species
CACGCGUUGCUCUCAAAUGAUGCUGACGACAAAGUGAUUCUGUUUUAUCAACCUGAAACUAUGAACUGUAAUGCAAAUUGUGAACUUCGAAAUUGAGGUUAUGAAAUUGACAUAACUAUAUUUAUAAACAAUAUGAACGACCGCGUUGGAGGAUAUGAAUGCAUUGGAACCUUGACAUGUGUUUUACUGUGUUUCUCAUCACGAUAAUAGAAAAUCUAGUGCUCAUACUCACGAUCUAAUGAACAUACAGCCAUACAAAAGAUGUCUUAAAGAGGUAUGCCUCCACUGACAAAGUGAAUUAAGUUGCCUACUCGAAAAGCAACUUUGCAAGGAAGCAAGUUUACUACCCACUGAAAUGUUCUCUUGGUACUUGAUGAGAUUAUGGAAUGAAACUGGCAAUAUUACAAUGUGAUAAAGAUAUUCCUGAUGGCGAUGAGUGAUGACUAACUUUCAAAACUACAAGAUGAACCCCUUCCACUUCUAGAAUGUGAAGAAUGCUGCCAUAUUACUGGCUCAUAUGAUCAUCAUGACAACUGUCUACCGUUGUCUACCCCGAUACAAGGAAAAUUACAAAUGUGUUGCUAAGCUUAAUAUUAGAUCAGUAGAAGCAGUUAGAAGAAUAAAUAAUGGUUCCGGAGUUUUACAAUGGCCGACUAACUUUUGAUGACUGAUGAAGAUAACUAUGCCAGCAAAAGACAGACAACGGAUUUACUUCGAAUAGCAAUAUUAAUAAAGCACUACCUUACAUUAUUAAGA